UACGGGGGGGGCGAGCGUUGUUCGGAAUUACUGGGCGUAAAGGGUUCGUAGGUGGCCUGCUAAGUCAGACGUGAAAUCCCUCAGCUUAACUGGGGAACUGCGUCUGAAACUGGCGGGCUUGAGUGCAGGAGAGGAACGCGGAAUUCCAGGUGUAGCGGUGAAAUGCGUAGAUAUCUGGAGGAACACCGGUGGCGAAGGCGGCGUUCUGGACUGUUACUGACACUGAGGAACGAAAGCCAGGGGAGCAAACGGG
rnacentral:rRNA from 1 species